UACGAAGGGGGCUAGCGUUGCUCGGAAUCACUGGGCGUAAAGGGCGCGUAGGCGGCGUUUUAAGUCGGGGUGAAAGCCUGUGGCUCAACCACAGAAUGGCCUUCGAUGACUGGGCGCUUGAGUAUGGUAGAGGUUGGUGGAACUGCGAGUGUAGAGGUGAAAUUCGUAGAUAUUCGCAAGAACACCGGUGGCGAAGGCGGCCAACUGGACCAUUACUGACGCUGAGGCGCGAAAGCGUGGGAGCAAACAGGAUUAGAUACCCCGA
rnacentral:rRNA from 1 species